rnacentral:rRNA from 1 species
GACGAACGCUGGCGGCGUGCUUAACACAUGCAAGUCGAACGGAAAGGCCCUGCUUUUGUGGGGUGCUCGAGUGGCGAACGGGUGAGUAACACGUGAGUAACCUGCCCUUGACUUUGGGAUAACUUCAGGAAACUGGGGCGAAUACCGGAUAGGAGCUCCUGCUGCAUGGGGGGGGUUGGAAAGUUUCGGCUGUUGGGGAUGGACUCGCGGCUUAUCAGCUUGUUGGGGGGGUAGUGGCUUACCAAGGCUUUGACGGGUAGCCGGCCUGAGAGGGUGACCGGCCACAUUGGGCCUGAGAUACGGCCCAGAAUCCUACGGGAGGCAGCAGUGGGGAACCUUGCACAAUGGGCGGACGCGUGAUGCAGCAACGCCGCGUGCGGGAUGACGGCCUUCGGGGUGUAAACCGCUUUCGCCUGUGACGAAGAGUGAGUGACGGUAAUGGGUCAAGAAGCACCGGCUAACUACGUG